rnacentral:rRNA from 1 species
UACGGGGGGGAGCAAGCGUUGUUCGGAUUUACUGGGCGUAAAGGGCGCGUAGGCGGCGCAACAAGUCACUUGUGAAAUCUCCGGGCUUAACCCGGAGCGGUCAAGUGAUACUGUCGUGCUAGAGUGCGGAAGGGGCUACUGGAAUUCUCGGUGUAGCGGUGAAAUGCGCAGAUAUCAGGAGGAACACCAAUAGCGAAGGCAGCACUCUGGUACGUGACUGACGCUGAGACGCGAAAGCGUGGGGAGCAAACAGG